rnacentral:rRNA from 1 species
GAAUAAGGGCGCACGGUGGAUGCCUUGGCACUAGGAGCUGAUGAAGGACGGGACUAACACCGAUAUGCUUUGGGGAGCUGUAAGUAAGCUAUGAUCCAGAGAUUUCCGAAUGGGGGAACCCAAUAUCUUUUAUAGGAUAUUACUUUUCAGUGAAUACAUAGCUGAUUAGAGGUAGACGCAGAGAACUGAAACAUCUUAGUACCUGCAGGAAGAGAAAGAAAAUUCGAUUCCCUGAGUAGCGGCGAGCGAAACGGGAAGAGCCCAAACCAACAAGCUUGCUUGUUGGGGUUGUAGGACUCCAAUAUGGUAGUCUGUUAGUAUAGUUGAAGGAUUUGGAAAAUUCCGCUAAAGAGGGUGAAAGCCCCGUAGACGAAAUGCUAACAACACCUAGGAGGAUCCUGAGUACGGCGGAACACGAGAAAUUCCGUCGGAAUCCGCGGGGACCAUCCCGCAAGGCUAAAUACUCCCUAGUGACCGAUAGUGAACCAGUACCGUGAGGGAAAGGUGAAAAGCACCCCGGAAGGGGAGUGAAAUAGAUCCUGAAACCGUGUGCCUACAACAAGUCAAAGCUCGUUAAUGAGUGAUGGCGUGCCUUUUGUAGAAUGAACCGGCGAGUUACGAUUGCAUGCGAGGUUAAGUCGAAGAGACGGAGCCGCAGCGAAAGCGAGUCUGAAUAGGGCGAAUGAGUAUGUAGUCGUAGACCCGAAACCAUGUGAUCUACCCAUGUCCAGGUUGAAGGUGCGGUAAAACGCACUGGAGGACCGAACCCACGUACGUUGAAAAGUGCGGGGAUGAGGUGUGGGUAGCGGAGAAAUUCCAAACGAACUUGGAGAUAGCUGGUUCUCUCCGAAAUAGCUUUAGGGCUAGCCUCGGAAUUGAGAAUGAUGGAGGUAGAGCACUGUUUGGACUAGGGGCCCAUCUCGGGUUACCGAAUUCAGAUAAACUCCGAAUGCCAUUCACUUAUAUCCGGGAGUCAGACUGCGAGUGAUAAGAUCCGUAGUCGAAAGGGAAACAGCCCAGACCACCAGCUAAGGUCCCAAAAUAUAUGUUAAGUGGAAAAGGAUGUGGGGUUGCACAGACAACUAGGAUGUUGGCUUAGAAGCAGCCACCAUUUAAAGAGUGCGUAAUAGCUCACUAGUCGAGUGACCCUGCGCCGAAAAUGUACCGGGGCUAAACAUAUUACCGAAGCUGUGGACUACACCAUUAGGUGUAGUGGUAGGAGAGCGUUCUAAGGGCGUUGAAGGUCGAUCGUGAGGACGGCUGGAGCGCUUAGAAGUGAGAAUGCCGGUAUGAGUAGCGAAAGACAGGUGAGAAUCCUGUCCACCGUAUGACUAAGGUUUCCUGGGGAAGGCUCGUCCGCCCAGGGUUAGUCGGGACCUAAGCCGAGGCCGAUAGGCGUAGGCGAUGGACAACAGGUUGAUAUUCCUGUACCAGUUGUUUUUGUUUGAGCAAUGGAGGGACGCAGUAGGCUAAGGAAUGCAUGCGAUUGGAAGUGCAUGUCCAAGCAAUGAGUCUUGAGUAGAGUUAAAUGCUUUACUCUCUAAGGACAAGUUGUGACGGGGAGCGAAAUAAUAGUAGCGAAGUUCCUGAUGUCACACUGCCAAGAAAAGCUUCUAGUGAGAAAACAACUGCCCGUACCGUAAACCGACACAGGUAGUCGAGGAGAGUAUCCUAAGGUGAGCGAGCGAACUCUCGUUAAGGAACUCGGCAAAAUGACCCCGUAACUUCGGGAGAAGGGGUGCUGACUUCGGUCAGCCGCAGUGAAUAGGCCCAAGCGACUGUUUAUCAAAAACACAGGUCUCUGCAAAAUCGUAAGAUGAAGUAUAGGGGCUGACGCCUGCCCGGUGCUGGAAGGUUAAGAGGAUGGGUUAGCUUCGGCGAAGCUCAGAAUUGAAGCCCCAGUAAACGGCGGCCGUAACUAUAACGGUCCUAAGGUAGCGAAAUUCCUUGUCGGGUAAGUUCCGACCCGCACGAAAGGCGUAACGAUUUGGGCACUGUCUCAACGAGAGACUCGGUGAAAUUUUAGUACCUGUGAAGAUGCAGGUUACCCGCGACAGGACGGAAAGACCCCAUGGAGCUUUACUGUAGUUUGAUAUUGAGUGUUUGUACCACAUGUACAGGAUAGGUAGGAGCCGAUGAGACCGGAACGCUAGUUUCGGAGGAGGCGCUGGUGGGAUACUACCCUUGUGUUAUGAACCCUCUAACCCGCACCACUAAUCGUGGUGGGAGACAGUGUCAGAUGGGCAGUUUGACUGGGGCGGUCGCCUCCUAAAAGGUAACGGAGGCGCCCAAAGGUUCCCUCAGAAUGGUUGGAAAUCAUUCGAAGAGUGUAAAGGCAGAAGGGAGCUUGACUGCGAGACCUACAAGUCGAGCAGGGACGAAAGUCGGGCUUAGUGAUCCGGUGGUUCCGCAUGGAAGGGCCAUCGCUCAACGGAUAAAAGCUACCCUGGGGAUAACAGGCUUAUCUCCCCCAAGAGUCCACAUCGACGGGGAGGUUUGGCACCUCGAUGUCGGCUCGUCGCAUCCUGGGGCUGUAGUCGGUCCCAAGGGUUGGGCUGUUCGCCCAUUAAAGCGGCACGCGAGCUGGGUUCAGAACGUCGUGAGACAGUUCGGUCCCUAUCCGUCGCGGGCGUUGGAAAUUUGAGAGGAGCUGUCCUUAGUACGAGAGGACCGGGAUGGACUUACCGCUGGUGUACCAGUUGUUCUGCCAAGGGCAUUGCUGGGUAGCUAUGUAGGGAAGGGAUAAACGCUGAAAGCAUCUAAGUGUGAAGCCCACCUCAAGAUGAGAUUUCCCAUUUCUUUAAGAAAGUAAGACCCCUGAGAGAUGAUCAGGUAGAUAGGUUGGAAGUGGAAGGCUAGUGAUAGUUGGAGCGGACCAAUACUAAUCGGUCGAGGACUUAACCAAAGAAUG